rnacentral:rRNA from 1 species
AACAGACGAGGAGCUUGCUCCUCUGACGUUAGCGGCGGACGGGUGAGUAACACGUGGAUAACCUACCUAUAAGACUGGGAUAACUUCGGGAAACCGGAGCUAAUGCCGGAUAAUAUAUUGAACCGCAUGGUUCAAUAGUGAAAGACGGUUUUGCUGUCACUUAUAGAUGGAUCCGCGCCGCAUUAGCUAGUUGGUAAGGUAACGGCUUACCAAGGCAACGAUGCGUAGCCGACCUGAGAGGGUGAUCGGCCACACUGGAACUGAGACACGGUCCAGACUCCUACGGGAGGCAGCAGUAGGGAAUCUUCCGCAAUGGGCGAAAGCCUGACGGAGCAACGCCGCGUGAGUGAUGAAGGUCUUCGGAUCGUAAAACUCUGUUAUUAGGGAAGAACAAAUGUGUAAGUAACUAUGCACGUCUUGACGGUACCUAAUCAGAAAGCCACGGCUAACUACGUGCCAGCAGCCGCGGUAAUACGUAGGUGGCAAGCGUUAUCCGGAAUUAUUGGGCGUAAAGCGCGCGUAGGCGGUUUUUUAAGUCUGAUGUGAAAGCCCACGGCUCAACCGUGGAGGGUCAUUGGAAACUGGAAAACUUGAGUGCAGAAGAGGAAAGUGGAAUUCCAUGUGUAGCGGUGAAAUGCGCAGAGAUAUGGAGGAACACCAGUGGCGAAGGCGACUUUCUGGUCUGUAACUGACGCUGAUGUGCGAAAGCGUGGGGAUCAAACAGGAUUAGA